AUGAAGCACUGGGCGCAGUCUCAGAUUUGUCCGUCUCCAUUGGCUCAGCAGCAGGUGGUACUUCACUGCCAGCACUGGCACCCUCAGUUGCAUUUCCAGUAUUAGGACUCUCUGCACUCGGAGGUUGUUGCUCACCUCCUUGAGGAGGUUGAGGUGAC